rnacentral:rRNA from 1 species
GAAAGAUUUAUCGCUUUAAGAUUGGCCCGCGGAAGAUUAGGUAGUUGGUGGGGUAAAGGCCUACCAAGCCGACGAUCUAUAGCUGGUCUGAGAGGACGAACAGCCACAUUGGAACUGAGACACGGUCCAGACUCCUACGGGAGGCAGUAGUGAGGAAUAUUGGGCAAUGGAGGAAACUCUGACCCAGCCAUGCCGCGUGAGUGAAGAAGGUUUUCGAAUUGUAAAGCUCUUUCGGAUGUGAAGAUGAUGACGGUAACAUCUAAAGAAGCCCCGGCAAACUUCGUGCCAGCAGCCGCGGUAAUACGAAGGGGGCAAGCGUUGUUCGGAAUUACUGGGCGUAAAGGGUGUGUAGGCGGGAAAGUAAGAUAGUGGUGAAAUGCCUGAGCUCAACUUGGGAACUGCCAUUAUAACUAUUUUUCUAGAGUGACAGAGAGGAUAUUGGAAUACCCAGUGUAGAGGUGAAAUUCGUAGAUAUUGGGUAGAACACCGGAGGCGAAGGCGAGUAUCUGGCUGUCAACUGACGCUGAGGCACGAAAGCAUGGGGAUCAAACAGGAUUAGAUACCCUGGUAGUCCAUG